ensembl:lncRNA
UUUUACUCUUGACUCUAACUCAGCCCCCUACUCAGUGAACACUUAGUCCUCGAUAACCCCGGAAGGCGAACUUUCAGGGGUAGAAGCAUGUUUUUGAAAAAGAAAAAUCAUUAUUUAUUCAGUCCACUCCUGAGGUGAAGGUACAAACAGCAAACUAAGAGGCCGUCACACUGGCCAGUGACAGACCCUCCCACACAAUGGACAAUGCUCAUUCUUCAGGGUGAGAAUAUGGAAGCCAGGAAUAUCAAGGCCAGUGACAAGAUUGAAUCUGUUUAGGCAGAUUUUGACCACAAAACUAGAGAACUAUGCACCAUGCAGCCCAGGCUUUCCUGGAACUCUUUCCUGACAUCUACCAGUGAGAUGAGGAUUGUACAAAGACCUACAGCGACUGAAAACCUACACAAAGUAAAAACUCAGCUAAGCGUCUCCAAGUAGGGAUCACACCUUGACCUCUCACUGUUUGGGCAAAUGAAACUUUUCCUGAAGAAAAAAUAUAUAUAUCAGGCACUUAUUUACCUGGAAGUAUUUCGUGUGCUAUGUGCACACCUGGAGCCCAAGGAGGCCAGAAGAAGUGUUUAAUGAGGAUCAAACCAAGGAACUUGGGCACAUUGGGCAAGGAGUCUCACAAUGAACUGCAUCCCCAGCCUUGAAUCUGAAUGAAUACGUGAAAGAUAGUUACCCCCAGCUAACCUGCACCGUCACAUGACCAAGAGUGCCCAAAACUACAUUCACGUAUGAAGAACAGACUUAGUGUGCCGAGGAAAACACGCAGAAAAUCAACGCUUACUCGGGAGGUGACUUGAGAAGCCAGAAGGACAGAGAUAUAGCUGUCUGUAUGCCUGUCUGCUCCACAGCUCUCAUGGGUGUGAAUAAAAUGCUUUUCACAGAAACUGAAAUUUCCUGAGUAGAAACUUC